GCGCGCGAUACAGGGUGACAGCCCCGUACACAAAAAUGCACAUGCUGUGAGCUCGAUGAGUAGGGCGGGACACGUGGUAUCCUGUCUGAAUAUGGGGGGACCAUCCUCCAAGGCUAAAUACUCCUGACUGACCGAUAGUGAACCAGUACCGUGAGGGAAAGGCGAAAAGAACCCCGGCGAGGGGAGUGAAAAAGAACCUGAAACCGUGUACGUACAAGCAGUGGGAGCACAGAGCAAUCUGUGUGACUGCGUACCUUUUGUAUAAUGGGUCAGCGACUUAUAUUCUGUAGCAAGGUUAACCGAAUAGGGGAGCCGAAGGGAAACCGAGUCUUAACUGGGCGUUAAGUUGCAGGGUAUAGACCCGAAACCCGGUGAUCUAGCCAUGGGCAGGUUGAAGGUUGGGUAACACUAACUGGAGGACCGAACCGACUAAUGUUGAAAAAUUAGCGGAUGACUUGUGGCUGGGGGUGAAAGGCCAAUCAAACCGGGAGAUAGCUGGUUCUCCCCGAAAGCUAUUUAGGUAGCGCCUCGUGAAUUCAUCUCCGGGGGUAGAGCACUGUUUCGGCAAGGGGGUCAUCCCGACUUACCAACCCGAUGCAAACUGCGAAUACCGGAGAAUGUUAUCACGGGAGACACACGGCGGGUGCUAACGUCCGUCGUGAAGAGGGAAACAACCCAGACCGCCAGCUAAGGUCCCAAAGUCAUGGUUAAGUGGGAAACGAUGUGGGAAGGCCCAGACAGCCAGGAUGUUGGCUUAGAAGCAGCCAUCAUUUAAAGAAAGCGUAAUAGCUCACUGGUCGAGUCGGCCUGCGCGGAAGAUGUAACGGGGCUAAACCAUGCACCGAAGCUGCGGCAGCGACACUGUGUGUUGUUGGGUAGGGGAGCGUUCUGUAAGCCUGUGAAGGUGUGCUGUGAGGCAUGCUGGAGGUAUCAGAAGUGCGAAUGCUGACAUAAGUAACGAUAAAGCGGGUGAAAAGCCCGCUCGCCGGAAGACCAAGGGUUCCUGUCCAACGUUAAUCGGGGCAGGGUGAGUCGACCCCUAAGGCGAGGCCGAAAGGCGUAGUCGAUGGGAAACAGGUUAAUAUUCCUGUACUUGGUGUUACUGCGAAGGGGGGACGGAGAAGGCUAUGUUGGCCGGGCGACGGUUGUCCCGGUUUAAGCGUGUAGGCUGGUUUUCCAGGCAAAUCCGGAAAAUCAAGGCUGAGGCGUGAUGACGAGGCACUACGGUGCUGAAGCAACAAAUGCCCUGCUUCCAGGAAAAGCCUCUAAGCAUCAGGUAACAUCAAAUCGUACCCCAAACCGACACAGGUGGUCAGGUAGAGAAUACCAAGGCGCUUGAGAGAACUCGGGUGAAGGAACUAGGCAAAAUGGUGCCGUAACUUCGGGAGAAGGCACGCUGAUAUGUAGGUGAAGUCCCUCGCGGAUGGAGCUGAAAUCAGUCGAAGAUACCAGCUGGCUGCAACUGUUUAUUAAAAACACAGCACUGUGCAAACACGAAAGUGGACGUAUACGGUGUGACGCCUGCCCGGUGCCGGAAGGUUAAUUGAUGGGGUCAGCGCAAGCGAAGCUCUUGAUCGAAGCCCCGGUAAACGGCGGCCGUAACUAUAACGGUCCUAAGGUAGCGAAAUUCCUUGUCGGGUAAGUUCCGACCUGCACGAAUGGCGUAAUGAUGGCCAGGCUGUCUCCACCCGAGACUCAGUGAAAUUGAACUCGCUGUGAAGAUGCAGUGUACCCGCGGCAAGACGGAAAGACCCCGUGAACCUUUACUAUAGCUUGACACUGAACAUUGAGCCUUGAUGUGUAGGAUAGGUGGGAGGCUUUGAAGUGUGGACGCCAGUCUGCAUGGAGCCGACCUUGAAAUACCACCCUUUAAUGUUUGAUGUUCUAACGUGGACCCGUGAUCCGGGUUGCGGACAGUGUCUGGUGGGUAGUUUGACUGGGGCGGUCUCCUCCUAAAGAGUAACGGAGGAGCACGAAGGUUGGCUAAUCCUGGUCGGACAUCAGGAGGUUAGUGCAAUGGCAUAAGCCAGCUUGACUGCGAGCGUGACGGCGCGAGCAGGUGCGAAAGCAGGUCAUAGUGAUCCGGUGGUUCUGAAUGGAAGGGCCAUCGCUCAACGGAUAAAAGGUACUCCGGGGAUAACAGGCUGAUACCGCCCAAGAGUUCAUAUCGACGGCGGUGUUUGGCACCUCGAUGUCGGCUCAUCACAUCCUGGGGCUGAAGUAGGUCCCAAGGGUAUGGCUGUUCGCCAUUUAAAGUGGUACGCGAGCUGGGUUUAGAACGUCGUGAGACAGUUCGGUCCCUAUCUGCCGUGGGCGCUGGAGAACUGAGGGGGGCUGCUCCUAGUACGAGAGGACCGGAGUGGACGCAUCACUGGUGUUCGGGUUGUCAUGCCAAUGGCACUGCCCGGUAGCUAAAUGCGGAAGAGAUAAGUGCUGAAAGCAUCUAAGCACGAAACUUGCCCCGAGAUGAGUUCUCCCUGACCCUUUAAGGGUCCUGAAGGAACGUUGAAGACGACGACGUUGAUAGGCCGGGUGUGUAAGCGCAGCGAUGCGUUGAGCUAACCGGUACUAAUGAACCGUGAGGCUUAACCUUACAACGCCGAAGGUGUUU
rnacentral:rRNA from 1 species